GAGUUUGAUUCUGGCUCAGGACAAACGCUGGCGGCGUGCUUAACACAUGCAAGUCGAACGAUGAAACGGAACGGAAGUUUUCGGAUGGAAGUUCUGUGGAUUAGUGGCGGACGGGUGAGUAAUGCAUGAAGAACCUGCCUUUCACAUAGGAAUAGCCUCGGGAAACCGGGAUUAAUACCAAAUGACACUCCGAGAUCGCAUGUUUUUGGGGUUAAAGAUUUUAUCGGUGAAAGAUGGCUUCAUGUCCCAUUAGCUGGUUGGUGAGGUAACGGCUCACCAAGGCGACGAUGGGUAGCCGGCCUGAGAGGGUGAACGGCCACAUUGGAACUGAGACACGGUCCAAACUCCUACGGGAGGCAGCAGUGGGGAAUAUUGCACAAUGGAGGGAACUCUGAUGCAGCGACGCCGCGUGAGCGAUGAAGGUCUUCGGAUCGUAAAGCUCUGUCCUAAGGGACGAUAAU
rnacentral:rRNA from 1 species